CCAGGGGCAAGCACAGGAGGGGUACGGCUGGAAAAACCGCCGUGCAACCCAAAGGUGUGACGCAUACCGAACUAAAGUAGGGAAAUGUGUGAGCCGGCUGCCGAGAAAAGCCGCUAUUGUUUGUACUGUACCCGUACCGUAAACCGACACAGGUGGAUGAGGAGAGAAUCCUAAGGCCGACGGAAGAAGCAUUGCUAAGGAACUCGGCAAAAUGACCCUGUAACUUCGGGAGAAAGGGUGCCUCGAAAGAGGCCGCAGAGAAUAGGCCCAAGCAACUGUUUAGCAAAAACACAGGUCUAUGCAAAACCGCAAGGUGAAGUAUAUGGGCUGACGCCUGCCCGGUGCUGGAAGGUUAAGGGGAGAUGUCAGGAGACGAAGCAUCGAACUUAAGCCCCAGUAAACGGCGGCCGUAACAAUAACGGUCCUAAGGUAGCGAAAUUCCUUGUCGGGUAAGUUCCGACCCGCACGAAAGGCGUAAUGAUUUGGGCGCUGUCUCGGCAAUGCAUCCGGUGAAAUUGAAGUGCCAGUGAAGAUGCUGGCUACCCGCGCCAGGACGGAAAGACCCCAUGGAGCUUUACUCCAGCUUGAUACUGGGAUUCGGUAUUGUAUGUACAGGAUAGGUGGGAGGCUGAGAAAUGGUGACGCCAGUCGCCAUGGAGCCGCUGUUGGGAUACCACCCUUGCAGUACAGGAUUUCCAACCAGCAGCCGUGAUCCGGCUGGGGGACAAUGUCAGGUGGGGAGUUUGACUGGGGCGGUCGCCUCCGAAAGGGUAUCGGAGGCGCUCAAAGGUUCCCUCAGAAUGGUCGGAAACCAUUCGAAGAGUGCAAAGGCAGAAGGGAGCUUGACUGCGACACCGACGGGUGGGGCAGGUACGAAAGUAGGACUUAGUGAUCCGGUGGUAUUAAGUGGGAAUGCCAUCGCUCAACGGAUAAAAGCUACCCUGGGGAUAACAGGCUUAUCACUCCCAAGAGUUCACAUCGACGGAGUGGUUUGGCACCCCGAUGUCGGCUCAUCGCAUCCUGGGGCUGUAGUAGGUCCCAAGGGUUGGGCUGUUCGCCCAUUAAAGCGGUACGCGAGCUGGGUUCAGAACGUCGUGAGACAGUUCGGUCCCUAUCCGGCGUGGGCGUAGGAUAUUUGAGAGGAGCUGACCUUAGUACGAGAGGAUCGGGUUGGACUGACCUCUGGUGCACCGGUUGUCAUGCCAAUGGCACAGCCGGGUAGCCAAGUCGGGAAGGGAUAAACGCUGAAGGCAUCUAAGCGUGAAGCCCCCCUCAAGAUGAGAUAUCCCCCGCAUAAGCGGUAAGACCCCUUGAAGACGACGAGGUAGAUAGGGCAGAGGUGAAAGUGCAGUAAUGUAUGGAGCUGACUGCUACUAAUAGGUCGAAGGCUUAACAG
rnacentral:rRNA from 1 species